rnacentral:tRNA from 17 species
GGCCCCGUAGCUCAGAGGAUAGAGCACCGGCCUUCUAAGCCGAUGGUCGCAGGUUCGAAUCCUGCCGGGGUCGCCA